ensembl:lncRNA
UUAUAACUAACAGCAGUUUGUUCUAAAGACUUAUGUGAAUUUAAAAACAUGACAUUGGUUACCAACGUCACAUAACUUAAGUGAUUUCAUAAACUAAGAUAUGAUGUUAUAUAUUAUAAUUUAACAUUUGUAUCAGUAGAUAUUCAAGUUAUUACUUAUUACAACUAUUACAAUUAAGCGUGAACACUGUUCACGCGCUGUCGGAUCACCUUCCUCCGUCCUGAAUAAAUUAAAUCCUCGUCGGCCCGCACUCCAUGCUGGGAUAUGCUGGGCUGCAAAGGAUGUGUCCUCCAAAAGCGGCUCUUGGAGGGCCGCGUCCCUCGUCCGCGUUCGGAGGAGCUGACGGAUUGGGACAGACGAGUCACAGCGAAAGUGUGCACCGAAUGCGUCCUUAAGGAUGCAGCCUAGCGACUGUGAGAUAAAGCCUAUGUCUUGCUCUGGAUCUCAUUCUCGUGUUUUGUGAGUUCCUGGUCCCCGUCUCGUCUGCGUCUUGCCCCCAGGCAUUUUGAUUUUUCUUUUUGGAAUCUCUCCCUCUCAAGAUUAAUGGAUUCCAUUCAGGCUGAGGACGCUCGAAAUUCGGAGCUGCAACUUGACAGACGAUUUGUUUGUUUUGCCCUGGAUGAGAGCUGUGUUGUUAGCAAUACAGCCCAACCACUGAUCUCCGUAAAAGGAAUACUUAGACUUUAAAGGUAACCCUUCAAUGAAGUCAAUAGCCAUCUGUAAGGAUUUAUUUGUUGAGUGAAUUACACACAUGGAAAAGUUAGGAGUGUGAAAAGUUUGUUACAACUGACGGGUGUUUGAUUUAACGGGAAAGAAUAUUGGGCCUUUUGAAGAGAAUGCUGGAUAAAGUUACCCAAGAUCAACCCAGAACAGAAACUAUUAUUUUUGCAUUACAGUAUAUUGUUUGGGAAUAGGUGCAAUGCUAUGUCACCACUGAAAAUAAACCAAGUGGUUAAUGUUGUUACUACAGUUGCGAACCAUUAUCAGGGCGAGCACUCUACAUAACAGGUCAUUUACUGCACUGUUGGAGCAUGAGACUGAAUCCAUCUGAGGCUGCGACACAUCUGUCAGGUGGCUCAGCCAGGACAAAGUGCUCCAAAGGGACCAGAAAUCAGAUGCAGGAAUUUUGUGUGACAAAAGAAAAAGCACAUCUUCCAAAAUAAAAAAGUUAAGCCCUCUUGGGUGAUUUUUACAUUGACCCAAUUGCCUGACGAAUGAACUGAAUUCAGUAAAAGUACCUUUGCACAGCAGAAGCACGACAUGGUCAAUGGAAGCUUCUGGUUAUUUCUCCACGAGCGGAGACUGCAACCUGUUCACACAUCUUACCACACUAACAAUAUUCCAAUGUGCAGUUAUGUUGAAGGCUUUAAAUGGUAAAAGUGGUAAAAGUGGUGGAACCUGAAAUGUCCAUAAUUUCCUCUACUUUAACUUGUGAAGCAGACAGUGUCUCUCGGGAUGUGCACCGCAAAUCAAAGGCUUUACUGACAUUUCCACUUUUCAAUUUCGGUGGACUUCCCACUUGAGGAGUUCUCGUCUUCUUUUGGUCAACAUACAGAUGUGAACAGACACAAUUGGUAAUGUAACUCAACAAAUCAAGAUACAGAUCUCAGUGAUGAUCAUCUGCUGCUAUAUUGCAACAUAAGGAAUUACUCAUGAUUUUGAUUUGUUUAUUUGAGUACUGUAGAAAACCAGGGGCACCCGGGGAGGUGGAUCCCAUGGCUCAGGUUGGGGGAGAUAAUAGAAGGUGUGUACUACCCAGUACCUGUAAUACCCAAUGUGUACUACUAAGUUUGAUCCUUCAUCCCGCCGGAUAGCCGGAAUCCAUUUUCGCGACCAUCAACAGGGAAGGAAUGAAACAACAGAUAUGGCUGCUUCUGGGAAUAACAAGAACAGCACGUAACAAAAACGGAAGUUGUGUGAAAGGUCUAUUGGCGCCUGGCAUUGGGCACACCUGCAGCCCAUCAGCCAAAUCAGAAGGGACCUAUAUCGAGGAGGCCGAGAAGCAGGAGGGAGAGGAUUGACAGAACAGCAGUUUGAGGGAACCAAAGGGAUUGAGAGAAGUCCCUGUAAACCAGAGGGAACGGUCACCCCUUCCAUCACCUCACCCCUUCCAUCUGCUCUCUUCCCACAGAACGAGUGACCUAAGACCCCGAGCAGCAGUUGUUUUAUUUCGACCCCAGCCACCUUUUCCAACGUUUAACUAUUAAAGAAUCAUUUUUGUUAAUUGA